rnacentral:tRNA from 1 species
UAUAAUAUAAGCUUUAUAUAAGCAAUUUUUUUACAAAAAAUAGAUUUAUUAAUAUUAUUA